UCCGGAGGGUGCAAGCGUUAUCCGGAAUCACUGGGCUUAAAGGGUGCGUAGGCGGCUUGAUAAGCCAGGGGUGAAAGCCCGCAGCUUAACUGCGGAACUGCCUUUGAUACUGUCGAGCUUGAAAGAGGUUGAGGUCAGCGGAACGUGACAUGUAGCGGUGAAAUGCAUAGAUAUGUCACAGAACACCGAUUGCGAAGGCAGCUGGCUGGACCUACUUUGACGCUGAGGCACGAAAGCGUGGGGAGCGAACAGG
rnacentral:rRNA from 1 species